rnacentral:lncRNA from 1 species
GGUGGUGAAGGGCGGCAGUUUGGUGUUUGUGCUGAGCAGGGGAGCAGAGGGCUGGGCCACAGCCAUCCACGAUGGACAGAAGCUGCACAUCCCAAGCUCUCUCCUGGAGCCUGUCUCAAGGAUGGAUAAAUGGAAGAUCAGCAACGGGAUCCCCCUUCCUCCUGCCCAGGUGCCUCCCAGCCGCCUGCAUGUGAAGCAGAAGCCAGGUAGUCCCUGGACCACCUCAGUGGGUGAAACUGUGCCCAAACCCACCCUUCAGGGGGUCGUGGGGAGGCUGAGGAUCCCCUGUCUGUGUGCUGAAGCUUCCAGCAGCCUCUGCUGACUGCAGGGCUGUUCCUCUGCUCUUGUUCUGUUCUGCAGAGCCUCCUGGGGGAGAAAAUGCCUUUGCCAGUGAUGCUGGUGCCCAGAUGGACUCCAAGGUGAGGUGUUCCACCAGCUGAAGCUGGUACAGCCUCAAGACACUACGGCUGCAAAAAGGGCAAGAUUCCUGCCCAGACCCUCCAAAAUUCCUGAGCUGCUCCAAAAUCAUGGAAAAAAUGUCCUUCCUCUGACCUCUUUCUCAUUCGAAAGAGAGGCUCCCAUGUGGUCUUUGCUCCUCCACUCCCAGGUUUGUGACCAUCCUACUUUGUGAGGCAGUCCAGGGCUGAGGUUUACAAGGCACCGACCUGUUGCCACCCUCCAAGGUGCUAAGAGCCCCAGACACAUUGCUGUUGUCAUACACACUCUUUGCAAGGGAGAGCUGUCUUUGAACUCCCUGCUGUCUCUUCCCCCUUCUGCCGUGUGCCAUUCUCUGUCCCUGUCAGUCUGGGUACCACAGUUCAUUCAUAUUUGCAUUCUGGGAUGAGGCACCUCCAUGUCAUUGCCAACUUCUGUGCGUGAUGGCCCUGGAAUCGCUCCUCUGUCCACCUGGGGGCAGAACCUCUGUCCCCCAGCUGCAGGUCAGCUCUGCCACCCCUCUUUGAAGGACAUUUGGAGUAGCUUUGUCAGCUGUACUUCAGCCAGAAGGCAGCACAAAGUGGGAAUGUGGCUGCUUCUCUCCAGCUGACUGGAGGAAUUGGGAUCCUACUCGUAUAAUUUUUGGAUUGGGAGAUACCUGUGCAAUCAGACCCAGAAACAGGUUUCCUGAGUCAUUGGAGGAACAUUUGAUUCCAGGCUUUGAAUCCAUAGUUACCCCUCUGAAAUUCAGAUCUGCCUUUUGAUGAUGCUCUACCAUGACAUGGCAGCACAGAGACGAGAGGUUGUGUCUGUGUCACCUCUUGGAUAUGAGAGCCGACAUAGUCAGUCGAGGUUCUUCUUAGUCCAUGGACUUCAGUCAGUCCAGG